rnacentral:rRNA from 1 species
UACGAAGGGGGCUAGCGUUGCUCGGAAUCAUUGGGCGUAAAGCGCGUGUAGGCGGUCCGGUAAGUCCGCUGUGAAAGUCGAGGGCUCAACCCUCGAAUGCCGGUGGAUACUGUCGGGCUUGAGUACGGGAGAGGCGAGUGGAAUUCCUGGUGUAGCGGUGAAAUGCGCAGAUAUCAGGAGGAACACCGGUGGCGAAGGCGGUUCUCUGGGCCGUACCUGACGCUGAGGAGCGAAAGCGUGGGGAGCAAACAGG